GAUGAACGCUGGCGGCGUGCCUAAUACAUGCAAGUCGAGCGAACGGACGAGAAGCUUGCUUCUCUGAUGUUAGCGGCGGACGGGUGAGUAACACGUGGAUAACCUACCUAUAAGACUGGGAUAACUUCGGGAAACCGGAGCUAAUACCGGAUAAUAUUUUGAACCGCAUGGUUCAAAAGUGAAAGACGGUCUUGCUGUCACUUAUAGAUGGAUCCGCGCUGCAUUAGCUAGUUGGUAAGGUAACGGCUUGCCAAGGCAACGAUGCAUAGCCGACCUGAGAGGGUGAUCGGCCACACUGGAACUGAGACACGGUCCAGACUCCUACGGGAGGCAGCAGUAGGGAAUCUUCCGCAGUGGGCGAAAGCCUGACGGAGCAACGCCGCGUGAGUGAUGAAGGUCUUCGGAUCGUAAAACUCUGUUAUUAGGGAAGAACAUAUGUGUAAGUAACUGUGCACAUCUUGACGGUACCUAAUCAGAAAGCCACGGCUAACUACGUG
rnacentral:rRNA from 1 species